AGUUGCUUAGCUCAGUGGUUAGAGAAACUGUGGUGCAAUCACACAAAGGUCCUGGGUUUGAUCCCCAGAGCCACCA